rnacentral:rRNA from 1 species
AUGGGGGAAACCCCGACGAGGGAAAGCCAAGUGCCAGCACAAUGUGCUGGCUGUUUUCUUGUCUAAAAAACAAGGAGAGUAAGGGCUGGGUAAGACGGGUGCCAGCCGCCGCGGUAAUACCUGCAGCCCGAGUGGUACUCGUUAUUAUUGGGUCUAAAUCGUCCGUAGUCGGUUGCGUAGAUGCCUGGGUAAAUCGAGGCGCUUAACGUCUCGAAUUCCAGGUAGACCGCGCGACUAGGGAUCGGGAGAGGUGCAAAGUACUCCGGGGGUAGGGGUAAAAUCCUGUAAUCCUCGGGGGACUACCAGUGGCGAAGGCGUUGCACUAGAACGAGUCCGACGAUCAGGGACGAAGCCCUGGGGCGCAAACGGGAUUAGAUACCCCUGUAGUCC